UACAGAGGGUGCGAGCGUUAAUCGGAAUUACUGGGCGUAAAGCGCGCGUAGGCGGCUUUGCAAGCCGGAUGUGAAAUCCCCGGGCUUAACCUGGGAACUGCAUUCGGGACUGCAUUGCUAGAGUAUGGGAGAGGGAAGUGGAAUUUCAGGUGUAGCGGUGAAAUGCGUAGAUAUCUGAAGGAACAUCAGUGGCGAAAGCGACUUCCUGGACCAAUACUGACGCUGAGGAGCGAAAGCCAGGGGAGCAAACGGG
rnacentral:rRNA from 1 species